rnacentral:rRNA from 1 species
CACGUAGGCGGCUAGGUCCGUCCGAUGUGAAAGCCCCCGGCUCAACCGGGGAAUUGCAUCGGAUACAGCCUGGCUCGAGGACGGUUGGGGUGAGUGGAACUCCUGGUGGAGCGGUGAAAUGCGUAGAUAUCAGGAGGAACACCGGUGGCGAAAGCGGCUCACUGGACCGUUUCUGACGCUGAGGUGCGAAAGCUAGGGGGAGCAAACG